UACGGAGGGAGCUAGCGUUGUUCGGAAUUACUGGGCGUAAAGCGCACGUAGGCGGCUAUUCAAGUCGGGGGUGAAAGCCCGGGGCUCAACCCCGGAACUGCCCUCGAAACUAGAUAGCUAGAAUCUUGGAGAGGUCAGUGGAAUUCCGAGUGUAGAGGUGAAAAUUCGUAGAUAUUCGGAAGAACACCAGUGGCGAAGGCGACUGACUGGACAAGUAUUGACGCUGAGGUGCGAAAAGCGUGGGG
rnacentral:rRNA from 1 species